rnacentral:rRNA from 1 species
UCAUGACCAGGAUGAAGCUUGGGUAAAACCAAGUGGAAGUCCGAACCGACCGAUGUUGAAAAAUCGGCGGAUGAGUUGUGGUUAGGGGUGAAAUGCCAAUCGAACUCGGAGCUAGCUGGUUCUCCCCGAAAUGCGUUGAGGCGCAGCGAUUAACGAUUUUAAUAGAGCUAUCUAGGGGUAAAGCACUGUUUCGGUGCGGGCUGCGAGAGCGGUACCAAAUCGUAGCAAACUAAGAAUACUAAAUAUUGCUUUCCGUUAAUCAGUGAGACGGUGGGGGAUAAGCUUCAUCGUCGAGAGGGAAACAGCCCAGAUCACUAGCUAAGGCCCCUAAAUGAUUGCUAAGUGGCAAAGGAGGUGAAAAUGCUAAAACAACCAGGAGGUUUGCUUAGAAGCAGCCAUCCUUAAAAGAGUGCGUAAUAGCUCACUGGUGAAGCGUUUUUGCGCCGAAAAUGAACGGGACUAAGCAAUCUGCCGAAGCUGUGGGUUAGAAUUUUUUAUAAAAAAAUUCUUACGGUAGGGGAGCGUUCCGCUCUAGGGUGAAGUAUUUAUGAAAAUAAGUAUGGACGAAGCGGAAGUGAGAAUGUCGGCUUGAGUAACGCAAACAUUGGUGAGAAUCCAAUGCCCCGAAAACCUAAGGGUUCCUUUACUAGGUUCGUCCAUGAAGGGUGAGUCAGGACCUAAGGCGAGGCUGAAAAGCGUAGUCGAUGGCAAACAGGUUAAUAUUCCUGUACUAAGCUUCAAUUUAUACCGAGGGACGAAGAAAGCAAAAAUUAGCCAAAAAAUGGAUUGUUGGUGGAAGUGUUCAAAGUCGUGAAAAAUAGAAAAAAAACUAUUUUUAAACUAAGACAUGAUACGAUUUUAUUCCCUGAUUGUAUUGAAAGUGCUUCGCACUUUUAGUACUGAUUAAUAAUAAAAUUUAAUUUUUUGUUAAGCUUCCUAGAAAAGCUCGUAGUAUUUAUAUUGUCAAAUUACCUGUACCUUAAACCGACACAGGUAGGUGGGUAGAGUAUACCUAGGGGCGCGAGAUAACUCUCUCUAAGGAACUCGGCAAAAUGGCCCCGUAACUUCGGGAGAAGGGGUGCCUCUUUCAAAAGAGGCCGCAGUGACCAGGCCCAAGCGACUGUUUACCAAAAACACAGGUCUCCGCUAAGUCGUAAGACAACAUAUGGGGGCUGACGCCUGCCCAGUGCCGGAAGGUGAAGGAAGUUGGUUAUUCAUUAGAAGAAGCUAAUAACCGAAGCCCCGGUGAACGGCGGCCGUAACUAUGACGGUCCUAAGGUAGCGAAAUUCCUUGUCGGGUAAGUUCCGACCCGCACGAAAGGCGUAACGAUUUGGGCGCUGUCUCGGAGAGAGACUCGGUGAAAUAGACAUGUCCGUGAAGAUGCGGACUUCUUGCACCUGGACAGAAAGACCCUAUGAAGCUUGACUGUAGCUUGUAAUUGGGUUCGGGCUUUUUUUGCGCAGCCUAGGUGGGAGGCAUUGAUAAUUUUCUUCUGGGAAAAUUUGAGCCGUUCGUGAGAGACCACUCUGAAAGAGCUAGAAUCCUAAUAAUGAUCCUUGAAUCAGGACAUUUGACAGUUGCAGGUGGGCAGUUUGACUGGGGCGGUCGCCUCCUAAAAAGUAACGGAGGCGUGCAAAGGUUCCCUCAGGCUGGACGGAAAUCAGCUUAAGAGUGUAAAGGCAAAAGGGAGCUUGACUGCAAGACUUACAAGUCGAGCAGGGGCGAAAGCCGGCCUUAGUGAUCCGACGGUACCGCGUGGAAGGGCCGUCGCUCAACGGAUAAAAGUUACUCUAGGGAUAACAGGCUGAUCUUCCCCAAGAGUUCACAUCGACGGGAAGGUUUGGCACCUCGAUGUCGGCUCAUCGCAACCUGGGGCGGUAGUACGUCCCAAGGGUUGGGCUGUUCGCCCAUGAAAGCGGUACGUGAGCUGGGUUCAGAACGUCGUGAGACAGUUCGG